CCUACGGGAGGCAGCAGUAGGGAAUAUUGCUCAAUGGGGGAAACCCUGAAGCAGCAACGCCGCGUGGAGGAUGAAGGUUUUAGGAAUGUAAACUCCUUUUGAGAGAGAAGAAAAUGACGGGAUCUCACGAAUAAGCACCGGCUAACUCCGUGCAAGCAGCCGCGGUAAUACGGAGGGUGCAAGCGUUACUCGGAGUCACUGGGCGUAAAGAGUGCGCAGGCGGGCUUGUAAGUCAGAUGUGAAAUCCUGUAGCUUAACUACAGAACUGCAUUUGAAACUAUGAGGCUUGAGUGUGGGAGAGGUAGGUGGAAUGCGUGGUGUAGGGGUGAAAUCCGUAGAUAUCAAGCAGAAUACUCAUUGCGAAGGCGGCCUACUGGAACAUUACUGACGCUGAUGCACGAAAGCGUGGGGAGCAAACAGGAGUAGAUACCCGGGUAGUC
rnacentral:rRNA from 1 species